rnacentral:pre_miRNA from 1 species
GGGGGGAGGCCAGAUCCUGGGCUGUGUCCCGGCGCCAUGUGCUCCUCGUCUGCGCUGUUGGAUUCGCUCCCGGCCUCGCAGACCCCA